UGCGGUCAUCCCACACUUUACAGCUGAGCGGAGUACCGGAGCUUUCUCCUUGAUUCAUCGAGGUGAGUAAUGCCUAUGAAUCUGCCUGAUAUUGGGGGACAACGUUUCGAAAGGAACGCUCAUACCGCAUACGUGCUAGGGAGAAAGCAGGGACCUUCGGGCCUUGCGCUAUCAGAUGAGCCUAAGUCGGAUUAGCUAGUUGGUGAGGUAAUGGCUCACCAAAGCGAAGAUCCGAAACUGGUCUGAGAAGAUGAUCAGUCCACUGGAACUGAGACACGGUCCAGACUCCUCGGGAGGCAGCAGUGGGGAAUAUUGGACACUGGGGCGAGUGACUGAAUCAUUACAUGUCGAGUGUGUGAAAAG
rnacentral:rRNA from 1 species